rnacentral:rRNA from 1 species
UUCAUUNCNNAAUUNCCUUGAGUUGAUAUGGCUCAGGACGAACGCUGGCGGCGUGCUUACACAUGCAAGUCACGGGGGUCCGGGGGCAACUCCGGAUAACCGGCGAACGGGUGCGUAACACGUGAACAACCUGCCCUCGUGUGGGGGAUAGCCGGGCUAACGCCCGGGUAAUACCGCAUACGUUUUCCGAAGGGAGUCCUUUGGGAAGGAAAGCUCCGGCAACGGAGUGCACGGGGAGGGGUUCGCGGCCUAUCAGCUUGUUGGCGGGGUAACGGCCCACCAAGGCGACGACGGGUAGCUGGUCUGAGAGGAUGGCCAGCCACAUUGGGACUGAGAGACGGCCCAGACUCCUACGGGAGGCAGCAGUGGGGAAUCUUGCGCAAUGGUCUAACGACUGACGCAGCGACGCCGCGUGUGGGAGGACGCCUUUCGGGGUGUAAACCACUGUUGCCCGGGACGAACUGGCGUAUUCGUACGCCGUGACGGUACCGGGUGAGGAAGCACCGGCUAACUCCGUGCCAGCAGCCGCGGUAAUACGGAGGGUGCGAGCGUUGUCCGGAAUCAUUGGGCGUAAAGGGCGCGUAGGUGGCCCGGUCAGUCAGUGGUGAAAGCGCGGGGCUCAACCCCGCG